rnacentral:rRNA from 1 species
ACGCUCGACACCUACGGGGGGCAGCAGUGGGGAAUAUUGCACAAUGGGGGAAACCCUGAUGCAGCGACGCCGCGUGAAGGAAGACGUAUUUCGGUAUGUAAACUUCUAUCAGCAGGGAAGAUAAUGACGGUACCUGACUAAGAAGCCCCGGCUAACUACGUUCCAGCAGCCGCGGUAAUCUGAGCGGGCUGGCAAGGC